GUCUUGCCUGGGGAAGGGUUUCAGUAUUUCUUCCCAGGUCAGAGUAGAGGGAGGCGUGCCCUGUCUGCUAGCUUCCUGUAUAUGGGACUUCCCCUGGGAUGGAUCAGAUGCGUGGGGGGGGGGGGGGCGUACCCUGUCCUGAACAAACAUGCCGGGGAAGCGGGUCAGCUUGGAAAGUGUGAACGAGAUAACUGCAGCCAUGUUCCCCCAUAGCUGGAUAAACACUCCCCGCGAGGCUGACUGUUUUCUCAGACUGUCAGACCUAAAACUCUUGAAGAGUGUCGGUAUCAAGCAAUCUUUCCUGUGACUGAGGUCCUGCUUUCAUCCUUUCCCACACGGCUGUGUAGCUCUUCAGCAGAGCAAAGAACAACCCAAGGAUAAGAUGAAAAUCUCCCCCAAACAGGCUUCAUCUUUGAUCCAAAGACACCGGUCCCUGAUCUACACGCAAGCUCCAUUUCCCAGGACUUCCUGUGGCUACUUUCAGAUGCUUUGCUUCAUCAUGCCGUUCUGUCCCCUCGAUAGCACUUUGAUUCCCGCUUCAGAGAAGAGAGCAGAAACUCAUUACAUAACAUGCUCCACAUCUUAGUCAUUGGCAUCCUGAGUCUAGCUGUGAGUGACUCCAGAGCUGGAAUUUUGUUCACUCCACUGAUUCUCAGAGGAGGCAACACCCAGAGAAGUGUUUUCAGCCUCUGCUGAGAAUCACGGGCAUACCAGCUUUUCAUUUCCUUCAUCACCAUUUUGUCAGUGUGACUACUCAAUAGCUCACCUGGUUUUCAGCACUGUGUGUGCCUGCGUGCUGUCUCCUAUCUCAGUGGCUCCAGUGUCACUGGGUAUUUUCCCAGCAGGUCCUAUUCUCUUGUUUCGCUGGAAAGUCAAGUGAGGAGAAAGGGGGCAACCAGGCAUAUUGGUGUACGCCUGAGUCAGGAGGAUCAGAAGUUCAAGGGGUUUCCUGUGUCUUAACAUCCUUGAGAUGGUAUCAGCUGUCAACUUUCCAGUCAGCUUACCUGAACUUUAUCAGCCCUUAGCUCCGUGCUCCCUCUCCUCUUUUGGAGGAAUGAGAAGGGGAAGGGGCAGUCUGAAGGGGAAGAAAAACAAACCACGCCAAGAAGACCAGGCCCAAGAACUUAUCAAACACACCAGGACCAAGGAAGGGGAUAGCUGCCUCACCUGACCCCAUAAAGGUGACAUCUACCAAAUGGAUGUGGCUGCACAUGCCUCUAAUUCCAGCACUCGGGAGACAGAGGCAGGCAUAUGUGAGUUGGAAGCCAACCUGGUCUACAGGACAGCCAGGGCUACAUAGUGAGAUGCUGUCUCAAAAGAAAGGGGGUUGAGAAAAAGAAAAAGAAGGAAGAUGACAUCAACCUCUGAGAUGGAACGGCCCCACCAACCUGUCAUCUGACCACCUGGAGAGUGAGAUUUGUUCUCAUUUGUUUUUGUUGGAGUCAUGAAGUAGUACUUUCUCAUUGGGACCACCAGCCCUCACCCCCAGACAAUAAGAAAAAGUCUAGAGAAC
rnacentral:lncRNA from 1 species